UAAAACCUCUUAUUGUCUAUCUGUCUAAAGGCAGAGGGCUGCUAAGAUUAUUCCUCGUUGAAAGGUGAAAAGUGACAUAUACUUCACAAAUGCAUGCGUGGUUUUCGUUAUGGGGCAUGAGCCUUAUCUUUUAUGUAUCUCAAGAGUGAAUCAUGGUAGAGAAUAUUGGUAACAAAAUGUCUAGUUUUUCAGAGCCUUCUGAUUGGUUGAGCCUGCAUCUGCAGAUGCUGGUGAGCGCGAUUGCUUAUAGCGCUGGAGUUGAUGGGUCAGUUGUUAGCAAGCUACUCGAGGGAUCCAAGCCUAAACCCCUCGGUAAAGGUUUGCGUCUGUUUCCCCCUUUUUCGAAUAAUGGAAAUUUGAAAAGGAAACGAGUGAAAUUCGAGGGUUGGGAAUUAAGGUGUGGGUACUUUGAUCUACAUUUGUGUCAGGUG
rnacentral:lncRNA from 1 species